GCUAGCAAUGCACGCCUGUGGUUCAGCCGGCUAAUCUUGCGAGUUGACGUGUGGCGGAUCCAGAAUGGACCGUCCGCGUCGGCAUCGCAGGGCGAGCUGUGGUGCACUCCAUGGACGUGCGCGUCAGCGUCGGUUCUAGACGAGCGAUGAGGUGCCGGAGGAAGGUAGCUCGGUUCUUCGGAUCCGAGUGUUAAGACUCUGGUGCUGGGUUCGUCGUGGGACCGAGGAGAGAGAUGAUCGCUGCGGCACCUGCCUCUCGGGGCUAGCCAGCUGCUGUUAGAUGUGUGUCAGGCGUCGAGGACUGCACGCAGUGCUUGAUGUUGAGGCGUGGUCUAGUGGUGGUGUGGGCAUAGAGGUGCCUAGGACGCUGGCGUCCAAAUGGCCGUGCGCGACCCGUCUUGAAACACGGACCAAGGAGUCUAACAUGUGCGCGAGUCUUAGGGUGUACAAGCCCUCGGGCGGAAUGAAAGUGAAGGUUCGGCGCUGGUCGAGCUGAGGUGAGAGCUGUACGUGGAAUGAUUGCCACUGCGGCGCAUCAUCGGCCGGUCCAUCCUGCUCUCAGGAGGAUCCGAGCAAGAGCGUAUUUGUUGGGACCCGAAAGAUGGUGAACUAUGCCUGAAUAGGGUGAAGCCAGAGGAAACUCUGGUGGAGGCUCGUAGGGAUUCUAACGUGCAAAUUGAUCUCAAAAUUUGGGUAUAGGGGCGAAAGACUAAUCGAACCAUCUAGUAGCUGGUUCCCUCCGAAGUUUCCCUUAGGAUAGCUGGAACUCGAUAACACAGUUUUAUCAGGUAAAGCGAAUGAUUAGAGGUCUUGGGGAUGAAACAUCCUCAACCUAUUCUCAAACUUUAAAUCGGUAAGAAGCGCGACUUGCUUAACUGAAGCCGCGCAACCAAUGUGAGUUCCAAGUGGGCCAUUUUUGGUAAGCAGAACUGGCGAUGCGGGAUGAACCGAACGCUCGG
rnacentral:rRNA from 1 species